rnacentral:SRP_RNA from 1 species
GCUGGGCGUGGUAGCACACGCCUGUAAUCCAAGCUACUCAGGAGGCUGAGGCAGGAGAAUUUCUUGAGCCCAGGAGAUGGAGGUUGCAGUGAGCUGAGAUCAUGUCACUGCACUCCAGCCUGGGCAACAGAGCGAGACUCUGUCUCAA